GAUGAACGCUGGCGGCGUGCCUAAUACAUGCAAGUCGAGCGAACGGACGAGAAGCUUGCUUCUCUGAUGUUAACGGCGGACGGGUGAGUAAAACGUGGAUAACCUACCUAUAAGACUGGGAUAACUUCGGGAAACCGGUGCUAAUACCGUAUUAUUUUUUGAACCUCGUGGUUCAAAAGUUAAAGACGUUCUUGCUGUCCCUUCUACAUGUCUCCGCGCUGCAUUAGCAGUUUGGUAAGGUAACGGCUUACCAAGGCAACGAUGGAUAGCCGACCUGAGAGGGUGAUCGGCCACACUGGGACUGAGACGCGGUCCAGACUCCUACGGGAGGCAGCAGUAGGGAAUCUUCCGCAAUGGGCGAAAGCCUGACGGAGCAACGCCGCGUGAGUGAUGAAGGUCUUCGGAUCGUAAAACUCUGUUAUUAGUGAAGACCAUAUGUGUAAGUAACUGUGCACAUCGUGACGGUACCUAAUCAGAAAGCAACGGCUAACUACGUG
rnacentral:rRNA from 1 species